rnacentral:rRNA from 1 species
GCUCCUCUGACGUUAGCGGCGGACGGGUGAGUAACACGUGGAUAACCUACCUAUAAGACUGGGAUAACUUCGGGAAACCGGAGCUAAUACCGGAUAAUAUAUUGAACCGCAUGGUUCAAUAGUGAAAGACGGUUUUGCUGUCACUUAUAGAUGGAUCCGCGCCGCAUUAGCUAGUUGGUAAGGUAACGGCUUACCAAGGCGACGAUGCGUAGCCGACCUGAGAGGGUGAUCGGCCACACUGGAACUGAGACACGGUCCAGACUCCUACGGGAGGCAGCAGUAGGGAAUCUUCCGCAAUGGGCGAAAGCCUGACGGAGCAACGCCGCGUGAGUGAUGAAGGUCUUCGGAUCGUAAAACUCUGUUAUUAGGGAAGAACAAAUGUGUAAGUAACUAUGCACGUCUUGACGGUACCUAAUCAGAAAGCCACGGCUAACUACGUGCCAGCAGCCGCGGUAAUACGUAGGUGGCAAGCGUUAUCCGGAAUUAUUGGGCGUAAAGCGCGCGUAGGCGGUUUUUUAAGUCUGAUGUGAAAGCCCACGGCUCAACCGUGGAGGGUCAUUGGAAACUGGAAAACUUGAGUGCAGAAGAGGAAAGUGGAAUUCCAUGUGUAGCGGUGAAAUGCGCAGAGAUAUGGAGGAACACCAGUGGCGAAGGCGACUUU